rnacentral:tRNA from 1 species
GCGUCCGUAGCUCAGUUGGAUAGAGCGUCGGAUUCCGGUUCCGAAGGUCGUGGGUUCGACUCCCUCCGGGCGCACCA